UCUCAGUGAUGAACAAAUGGAUAAGAUGACGAGUCCGAUUUCAAUCCAUUCCAUUCAAUCAUGACGACGAAUCGAGGCAUUUGUCUGAGAGAA